UCCCUCAAGUCGGAUUUGAACCAGCAACCUAAGGAUCAUUGUUGAUACAUCUACAGUUCUCCACCCAGGAGGAGCUCUGAACAUCAGAAAUAGACAGCAUCAAACAAGAUUUAGAACAGGCCAUCUCAAGCCAUUGAAGAUAGAAAAUAACAACAAAAUCUACCCCACUUGCCCAAAAUGUAGCUUGGCACCUGCAGCUCCAGAACACAUUUUGGCUUGCAUUAGAUGCACUAAACAGGACCUUUAGGAGAGGCCACUGCUUAUCAUAAAACAGCUCGAGGAGCAUGAACUCAAGGAAUUUGUGUAAUCUUUACACAAGGGGAUAAGAAACAACAACAACAAUAGUUCUCCGCUCUGCCGACUGAGCUAUCAAGGG